rnacentral:rRNA from 1 species
ACCCGCUGAACUUAAGCAUAUCAAUAAGCGGAGGAAAAGAAACCAACAGGGAUUGUCUUAGUAACGGCGAGUGAAGCGACAAAAGCUCAAAUUUGAAAUCUGGCAACUUCGGUGUCCGAGUUGUAAUUUGAAGAAGGUAACUUUGGAGUUGGCUCUUGUCUAUGUUCCUUGGAACAGGACGUCACAGAGGGUGAGAAUCCCGUGCGAUGAGAUGUCCAACUCUAUGUAAAGUGCUUUCGAAGAGUCGAGUUGUUUGGGAAUGCAGCUCUAAGUGGGUGGUAAAUUCCAUCUAAAGCUAAAUAUUGGCGAGAGACCGAUAGCGAACAAGUACAGUGAUGGAAAGAUGAAAAGAACUUUGAAAAGAGAGUGAAAAAGUACGUGAAAUUGUUGAAAGGGAAGGGUUUGAGAUCAGACUUGGUAUUUUGUAUGUCUUGCUUUCGGGUGGGGCCUCUGCAGUUUACUGGGCCAGCAUCGGUUUGGACGGUAGGAUAAUGACAUUGGAAUGUGGCACUACUUCGUGGUGUGUUAUAGACUUUGUUGAUACUGCCUGUCUAGACCG